rnacentral:rRNA from 1 species
GAUGAACGCUAGCGGCAGGCUUAACACAUGCAAGUCGAGGGGCAGCACGAGUAGCAAUACUUGGUGGCGACCGGCGCAAGGGUGCGUAACGCGUGAGCAACAUGCCCGUAUCAGGGGGAUAAUCCAGGGAAACUUGGUCUAAUACCCCAUAGUAAUCAUAUCAGGCAUCUGGUAUGAUUUAAAGCUUAGGUGGAUACGGAUUGGCUCGCGUGACAUUAGCUAGAUGGUAAGGUAACGGCUUACCAUGGCUAUGAUGUCUAGGGGUUCUGAGAGGAAGGUCCCCCACACUGGAACUGAGACACGGUCCAGACUCCUACGGGAGGCAGCAGUGAGGAAUAUUGGACAAUAGGAUGGAAAUACUGAUCCAGCCAUGCCGCGUGAGUGAAGAAG